rnacentral:rRNA from 1 species
UACGUAGGGUCCGAGCGUUGUCCGGAAUUAUUGGGCGUAAAGAGCUCGUAGGCGGUUUGUCGCGUCGGGAGUGAAAACUCAGGGCUUAACCCUGAGCCUGCUUCCGAUACGGGCAGACUAGAGGUAUGCAGGGGAGAACGGAAUUCCUGGUGUAGCGGUGAAAUGCGCAGAUAUCAGGAGGAACACCGGUGGCGAAGGCGGUUCUCUGGGCAUUACCUGACGCUGAGGAGCGAAAGUGUGGGGAGCGAACAGG